rnacentral:tRNA from 1 species
AAAAAGGUAAGCUAAAUUU